rnacentral:rRNA from 1 species
GAUUUCUGAUACGAUGCGCCUGGCCCGGCUCGCAAGAGUUCGAGUGCCGGUAGCGCGUCUAUCAUCCUUCUCGACGGAGAGGUCAGCUGUAAAAGGCUGAUCGCCGCUGAGAUCUUUUACUUUGAAAAAAUUAGAGUGUUUAAAGCAGGCUUACGCCUUGAAUACAUUAGCAUGGAAUAAUAAUAUAGGACUUGAGUCUUAUUUUGUUGGUUUCUAAGAUUUAAGUAAUGAUUGAUAGGGAUAGUUGGGGGUGCUAGUAUUCAGCGGCCAGAGGUGAAAUUCUUUGAUUCGCUGAAGACUAACUUAUGCGAAAGCAUU